CUACGGGGGGCUCCAGUGGGGAAUAUUGCACAAUGGGCGCAAGCCUGAUGCAGCCAUGCCGCGUGUAUGAAGAAGGCCUUCGGGUUGUAAAGUACUUUCAGCGGGGAGGAGGGGAGUAAAGUUAAUACCUUUGCUCAUUGACGUUACCCGCAGAAGAAGCACCGGCUAACUCCGUGCCAGCAGCCGCGGUAAUACGGAGGGUGCAAGCGUUAAUCGGAAUUACUGGGCGUAAAGCGCACGCAGGCGGUUUGUUAAGUCAGAUGUGAAAUCCCCGGGCUCAACCUGGGAACUGCAUCUGAUACUGGCAAGCUUGAGCCUCGUAGAGGGGGGUAGAAUUCCAGGUGUAGCGGUGAAAUGCGUAGAGAUCUGGAGGAAUACCGGUGGCGAAGGCGGCCCCCUGGACGAAGACUGACGCUCAGGUGCGAAAGCGUGGGGAGCAAACAGGAUUAGAUACCCGAGUAGUC
rnacentral:rRNA from 1 species